AGGGAGGUAGUUCAGUGGUAGAGCAAUUGUCUAGUAUGCAACAGGCCCUGAGUUAAAUCUCCAGUAUCUUUU
rnacentral:tRNA from 1 species